GAUGAACGCUGGCGGCGUGCCUAAUACAUGCAAGUCGAGCGAACGGACGAGAAGCUUGCUUCUCUGAUGUUAGCGGCGGACGGGUGAGUAACACGUGGAUAACCUACCUAUAAGACUGGGAUAACUUCGGGAAACCGGAGCUAAUACCGGAUAAUAUUUUGAACCGCAUGGUUCAAAAGUGAAAGACGGUCUUGCUGUCACUUAUAGAUGGAUCCGCGCUGCAUUAGCUAGUUGGUAAGGUAACGGCUUACCAAGGCAACGAUGCAUGGCCGACCUGAGAGGGUGAUCGGCCACACUGGAACUGAGACACGGUCCAGACUCCUACGGGAGGCAGCAGUAGGGAAUCUUCCGCAAUGGGCGAAAGCCUGACGCAGCAACGCCGCGUGAGUGAUGAAGGUCUUCGGAUCGUAAAACUCUGUUAUUAGGGAAGAACAUAUGUGUAAGUAACUGUGCACAUCUUGACGGUACCUAAUCAGAAAGCCACGGCUAACUUCGUG
rnacentral:rRNA from 1 species